rnacentral:rRNA from 1 species
UACAGAGGUCUCAAGCGUUGUCCGGAAUUAUUGGGCGUAAAGAGCUCGUAGGCGGUCUGUUGCGUCGGCUGUGAAAACCCGGGGCUCAACCCCGGGCCUGCAUUCGAUACGGGCAGACUAGAGUUCGGUAGGGGAGUCUGGAAUUCCUGGUGUAGCGGUGAAAUGCGCAGAUAUCAGGAGGAACACCGGUGGCGAAGGCGGCCAUCUGGACCGCAACUGACGCUGAGGCGCGAAAGCGUGGGGAGCAAACAGG